rnacentral:rRNA from 1 species
CGGCAGCACGGGAGCAAUCCUGGAGGCGAGUGGGCGAACGGGUGAGUAAUAUAUCGGAACGUGCCCAGUCGUGGGGGAUAACGCAGCGAAAGCUGUGCUAAUACCGCAUACGAUCUCUGGAUGAAAGCGGGGGACUCAGCAAUGAGCCUCGCGCGAUUGGAGCGGCCGAUAUCAGAUUAGCUAGUUGGUGGGGUAAAGGCUCACCAAGGCAACGAUCUGUAGCUGGUCUGAGAGGACGACCAGCCACACUGGAACUGAGACACGGUCCAGACUCCUACGGGAGGCAGCAGUGGGGAAUUUUGGACAAUGGGCGCAAGCCUGAUCCAGCAAUGCCGCGUGCAGGAUGAAGGCCUUCGGGUUGUAAACUGCUUUUGUACGGAGCGAAAAGGCUUCUCCUAAUACGAGAGGCUCAUGACGGUACCGUAAGAAUAAGCACCGGCUAACUACGUGCCAGCAGCCGCGGUAAUACGUAGGGUGCGAGCGUUAAUCGGAAUUACUGGGCGUAAAGCGUGCGCAGGCGGUUAUAUAAGACAGAUGUGAAAUCCCCGGGCUCAACCUGGGCACUGCAUUUGUGACUGUAUAGCUAGAGUACGGCAGAGGGGGGAUGGAAUUCCGCGUGUAGCAGUGAAAUGCGUAGAUAUGCGGAGGAACACCGAUGGCGAAAGCAAUCCCCUGGGCCUGUACUGACGCUCAUGCACGAAAGCGUGGGGAGCAAACAGGAUUAGAUACCCUGGUAGUCCACGCCCUAAACGAUGUCAACUGGUUGUUGGGUCUUUGCUGACUCAGUAACGAAGCUAACGCGUGAGUGACCGCCUGGGGGAGUA